ACUGGAUUCUGGAGUCCGGCGUGAAGACCGACAGAAGCGUCCCUGCAUCCAGGUCCCACAUGCUCACCUCAUCUAUUGGAAUAUUAAUGGUUACUCACUUUGUCCAUUCUUAUACCAGGUGUGUCCUGAUAAUACCUGCUAGCAGAAUGGCUUUGGAUCCUCUGUCAGUGAGAUACAGCUGGCUGGACACAUCGAGCUUCAGGUCUCCAUAUCCAGAGAUGGUUUUGUGCUUUCUCCUAAAAGGCUCCCACACCUUUAAUCUGCGGGAUAACAAAUCAAUGAGAUAAACCAACAGCCCACAGAUUUAGAAUGACAGAUAGGUGUGGUAUUUUACUAUGCAUUCAACUGUCUGUCUGUUUUGAAGGUCUGUGGAGUCACAAAUUACUGUAUAUUUGUGAUGUCAUAAAUCACAAGUGUAAUGUCACCAUUCAUGCUGUAGGAGGCAAUAAAGAGUAACAGAAAUCUCA